rnacentral:lncRNA from 1 species
UAUAUAUAUACUACACAGUUGGUAAGGUUGUAUAUAUAUACUACACAGUUGGUAAGGUUGUAUAUAUAUACUACACAGAUGGUAAGGUUUGCUCUAAGCUAUAUUUUAUUACACUGGCCUACAGGACUUUUGGUGGGACUUGAGUCUUGUAUCUAGUACAGUAAGAUUAUUGUUGUUUAAGCUCACCAAGCGGGUUAUUCCUAUUGUAGUUUGCAUUCAUUCAAUUCUUUUAUCGACAUAAUCUCAUUUUCAACUUCUCGGAAUAUAUACGACUUAAUUUGAUAUAAUGCCGUACCACGGUAUCAGGGGGUUAUAUACGUGUUAGUAUGGUCAGAUUUGAUAUAAUGCCGUACCAGGUAUGGUCAGAUUUGAUAUAAUGCCGUACCACGGUAUCGGGGGGUUAUAUAGGGGUUAGUAUGGUCAGUUUUGAUAUAAUGCCGUACCACGGUAUCAGGGGUUGUAUACGUGUUAGUAUGGUCCGAUUUGAUAUAAUGCCGUACCAGGUAUCGGGGUUUUUAUAGGUAUUAGUAUGGUCAGAUUUGAUAUAAUGACGUACCACGGUAUCAGGGGUUGUAUACGUGUUAGUAUGGUCAGUUUUGAUAUAAUGCCGUACCACUGUAUCAGGGGGUUAUAUACGUGUUAGUAUGGUCAGAACUUGGUUAUUGUUGGUGAUGUUAGGAUCCAAAAACUGGGAGGUUUAUAAAAACAAAUAAUAUAAGUAAUGAUCCUUUCUUAUAAUCAGACAAGUUGGAUCAGUAGAUUGGCCUUGUUGAAUCAAAAACUUAACAUAAAAAUGAGGUCUUGUUUUCAAUAUAAAAAAAAUAUAAAUAGGUAAACGGCUUGUAAAGAAUCCUCUUCUGGAGGCAUGUUGUGACCAAGCGCUAAAUAUUUCAAAACUGUAAUGACAUACGAGUCUGGGAAAAAAACUUUUAUUUUUUAUUUUACAACAAUUAUGAAACAAGUUAUUUAAACUUAUAUUAAUCACUCUUGUUAAUCCGGAUAAUAGCGUGCGUGGGGGUCUUAUUGUGGGAGGAAACUGUAAUACCCGGAGAAAAACAACGUGGUCGGGCAAGUGACCCCAUACCUUUCACGUCCGAUCGGGGAAUCGAAACCCUGCCGCCUUGUUGAAAGCCAAUUGCGCUAUCCACUGCGCCAUCCGACCACCCAUAGAUUGUCUAGGGGUUAAGAUUUGAUCAUUUCAUAAAUCUAGGGUAUACAAGGGGCCACGCGAAGGGGUCUGGGUUUAGCAUAUGUUUACAGUUAUUACAAUUUUAAUUGUUUGUUAAAUGCUUUCUACUGUUCAUGUUAAUCGACUCAACUUGAAGUAUACCAUCAGUAAAGGGAAAGUGGUCCCGUACAAGACCAAACAGGAGAAUUAAGGUUCGCUCAAAGACAUUUUGGUGAGCUUCAGAGUCGUCAUUCUUUCUUUUUCUUAAUUCUUCACAUAAAGCAUGUUCAAGAUGUGACGGCUCCAAUUUUUUGAUAAUAAAAAUCCAGGAAGGGUGUUUUUUCAGACCCAAUCAGUAAUUGAGGGGUCGGUCAUACGCGAGAAUCCUGAGAUGAAAGGUUGAAAAUGGUUCCUGAGACGGCAUUGUAUUAUAUUAGGUGUGUCCUUUCCAAGCAUACGUAUACUCAAGAGAACAUUAUUAUGUGCCGUUCUCUUGUUAUAGAUAUUUUUCUUCGGGGCGUUGACAGAAAACAAAGAUCUUUCAAUACAUAGGUAAUUCACAUAGGUAAAUCACAAUCAGUUGGGUGAUUGAAGGCCUUUUUGACGUGUUUUGUUUGCAUUAGUUUGAUGUUCAGAUUAGAUAUUUAAAAGAGAUAAAUCACCUUCUGGUUGUGUUGUAGUAAACAGAUAUAUGUGUAUUGAUCUGUGUUGUAGUAAACAGAUAUAUGUGUAUUGAUCUGUGUUUAUCUCGUUUUAUAUCCGAGUAUUUCCUGGCGGGUAGGGGACAGUAGGUUUAAGAGAGAAAGUGUGUAUAUCAGUUUUCUAUCCGAGUACUUCCUGGUGGAGUAGGGGACAUUAGGCUAUCUAGUGAUAUGAUGGUGUAAUGCUCCCCACUGAUAAUUUCGCCAUUCACACCAUGAUAAUCCAUUUUUGCGGCUCUCAUUACGAAGGAAGAUAAAGGCGAACAUCAUCGGAGUACAGUGUGUACAGUAAUUCUCAUUGAAUAGUUCAAUUAUAUAGAGUACAUUUGUCGAACAUUUUGAAAUAUCUUAGGAUGAAUUAAACACUGUUCUAUUAUAUAACAGUGAAAUGGUUUGCACUACGGACGCAUAGUACUCUUUAAAUUGUCUAUUGCGGUAAAUUGGUUCAACGCCAUUUUAUAUAAACUUUUGAAAAGUCAGGGUUGUGUUAAACGCAUUUCAAUAUAAUUGACCUCUACUCGAGGUUGUGCGACACAUUAAUUGAAGGAAGGUUGGAAACCUAUCCAUUGAGUUAUCUUAUCAUACAGGGUGUGGUGAACAUAUUGUUGUGCUAUUGUUCUCUGUAAAUCGGUGUGUAUUGAAAGUAUUUCUUGUAAGGUAUCACAUAAUCCAUGUUGUAUUGAACACAUUUCCAUUGGAAGGUCUGAUACUUAUACACUGUGUAGUUGUCUUAUUAAUUUGCUAUUUUUGAUAUUAAAAAUAAUUCAUCUCAAAAGACGAAAAUGUGGGUGUAUUUUUCUUAAACGGUAGAUAGCGACUUGUUUGACAAUUGGUUUAACAUAAUUCACUACAGUGCAUUUGACUUAACAUAAACUUGUUUAUCCUAAGUCACUAGGGCGCAUCUGAUUUAAACAUAAGUUUUUCUACCAUAUGUCACAUUUUGCAUCUGACUGAAACUUGUAUACCAUAAGUCACUAGGGCGCAUCGAUAAGCCUCCAUUUUUCCGGUUGGAUAUAUCUAUCCUACAAAUGUACAUAGAUAGAGACAUACAAUCUCAACGGACAAGAAACACGCCGUUAGCAGUGAACAAUCUUCACAGAAAGAUGCCAUUGACAGAAAUAGGUAAAGGUCGCAAUAGUUGACGGUGUAUAGAUAAGUACAUAUUACCGCUAGCAAUAGUUGACGUUGUAUAGAUAAGUACAUACUACCUCUAGCAAUAGUUGACGUUGUAUAGAUAAGUACAUAUUACAGGGGCAGAAGUAAAUACAUAAUUCUCAUGCAUAGUAAUCAAUUAUGGUAUACUGCUACAUUUACAUCUAGGAAGACAAAGUGUUGCAAAGUAAAAGUUGUUUUAUUGUGAAGUUAAGGAUAUUUUGCCUUAUUUUCAUCGAUUUUGAAUUUGACUUUUCCGUAUUUAAUAAGUUAAUAACAAUUUCCUGGCCCGAAGGUUGACCCGGGGUAUCAAUGACGAAGUGAGAAUCGUUCCAUUUGAUUCGGAGUCUACUCGAUUCCUACAGUCGUCUUUGAGGUUGAUAUCACUAUUCUAUGUUUCUAUUUAUAAAUAAACGAUAAUGACAUCUCAU